AUUGAACGCUGGCGGCAGGCCUAACACAUGCAAGUCGAACGAGUGGCGGACGGGUGAGUAAUGUAUGGGAAACUGCCCGAUGGAGGGGGAUAACUACUGGAAACGGUAGCUAAUACCGCAUACUAUCGGAUGUGCCCAGAUGGGAUUAGCUAGUAGGUGGGGUACCGGCUCACCUAGGCGACGAUCCCUAGCUGGUCUGAGAGGAUGACCAGCCACACUGGGACUGAGACACGGCCCAGACUCCUACGGGAGGCAGCAGUGGGGAAUAUUGCACAAUGGGCGCAAGCCUGAUGCAGCCAGGCCGCGUGUAUGAAGAAGGCCUUCGGGUUGUAAAGUACUUUCAGUGAGGAGGCGUUACUGACAGAAGAAGCACCGGCUAACUCCGUGCCAGCAGCCGCGGUAAUUC
rnacentral:rRNA from 1 species